rnacentral:rRNA from 1 species
AUGAAGAAUAAUUAGUGGCAGACGGGUGAGUAAUGCAUAGGAAUCUACCUAAUAGUAUGGGAUAGCCACUAGAAAUGGUGGGUAAUACUGUAUAAUCCCUGCGGGGGAAAGAUUUAUCGCUAUUAGAUGAGCCUAUGUUAGAUUAGCUAGUUGGUAGGGUAAAGGCCUACCAAGGCGAUGAUCUAUAGCUGGUCUGAGAGGAUGAUCAGCCACACUGGAACUGAGAUACGGUCCAGACUCCUACGGGAGGCAGCAGUGGGGAAUAUUGGACAAUGGGCGCAAGCCUGAUCCAGCUAUGCCGCGUGAGUGAGGAAGGCCUUAGGGUUGUAAAACUCUUUCAGUAGGGAAGAUAAUGACGGUACCUACAGAAGAAGUCCCGGCAAACUCCGUGCCAGCAGCCGCGGUAAUACGGAGGGGGCAAGCGUUGUUCGGAAUUAUUGGGCGUAAAGGGCAUGUAGGCGGUUCGGUAAGUUAAAGGUGAAAUGCCAGGGCUUAAC